rnacentral:rRNA from 1 species
GAUGAACGCUGGCGGCGUGCCUAAUACAUGCAAGUCGAGCGAACGGACGAGAAGCUUGCUUCUCUGAUGUUAGCGGCGGACGGGUGAGUAACACGUGGAUAACCUACCUAUAAGACUGGGAUAACUUCGGGAAACCGGAGCUAAUACCGGAUAAUAUUUUGAACCGCAUGGUUCAAAAGUGAAAGACGGUCUUGCUGUCACUUAUAGAUGGAUCCGCGCUGCAUUAGCUAGUUGGUAAGGUAACGGCUUACCAAGGCAACGAUGCAUAGCCGACCUGAGAGGGUGAUCGGACACACUGGAACUGAGACACGGUCCAGACUCCUACGGGAGGCAGCAGUAGGGAAUAUUCCGCAAUGGGCGAAAGCCUGACGGAGCAACGCCGCGUGAGUGAUGAAGGUCUUCGGAUCGUAAAACUCUGUUAUUAGGGAAGAACAUAUGUGUAAGUAACUGUGCACAUCUUGACGGUACCUAAUCAGAAAGCCACGGCUAACUACGUG